GACAGAGGUGCCGAGCGUUAGGCGGAAUCACUGGGCUUAAAGCGUGUGUAGGCGGGCGGGCAAGUACCUUGUGAAAUCCCACGGCUCAACCGUGGAACGGCUGGGUAUACUGCCUGUCUUGAGCCAACUAGGGGCGAGCGGAACAGACGGUGGAGCGGUGAAAUGCGUAGAUAUCGUCUGGAACGCCAAGGGUGAAAACAGCUCGCUGGGGUUGUGCUGACGCUGAGACACGAAAGCCAGGGGAGCGAACGGG
rnacentral:rRNA from 1 species